rnacentral:rRNA from 1 species
UACGUAGGGCGCGAGCGUUGUCCGGAAUUAUUGGGCGUAAAGAGCUCGUAGGCGGCCGGUUGCGUCUGCUGUGAAAUCCCGGGGCUUAACCCCGGGCGUGCAGUGGAUACGGGCCGGCUGGAGGCAGGCAGGGGAGAGUGGAAUUCCUGGUGUAGCGGUGAAAUGCGCAGAUAUCAGGAAGAACACCUAUGGCGAAGGCAGCUCUCUGGGACGGUACUGACGCUGAGACGCGAAAGCGUGGGGAGCGAACAGG